UUUCUUUUAGAAACAUCCUGUACCAUCUUGAUGAGAAGACAAGCCAGUUUUCCAUCCUUAAGGAGGCUUGGGAGCAGUGCAUUCCAGAGACAUCAAAUGAGACUUUGCAAGAGGCCCUGUCUACUGUGCUGAAUAGCAUUAAUUCCGCUCAUACUUUCUUCAAAACAGGACUGGAUGUGUUUGAGAGUGUCUUACUAGAAAAGAACUGAGAAAAUCUCAGAAUUUUUCAAAGUUUGUUUACAAUUGUAUAAGCAAAAGCUCUAAUUUGACCAGGUGUUUGUCUUGCUGUAUUUGUUGUCACUGAAGACUUCCCAGAAAUUUAAUGCUAUUAUACAAUAUAUUUUUAAAUGUACAUAAGAAAGAACAUUUUGUACUUUUUAAAAUAUUCUUAUAACUCCAUUGAACUACAUAACAACAAUUAUUGAAAUAAUACUUAAGAUUAAUCUAUUACAGAGAAAUAUGCCAUAUCUUUUAGAAAAACAAUGGUUGGGAGGAGAUCAAAAUAUUUUUGGCAUUGUCACUACUGUGGACAUAAUGUGGAGGAAUGCUAGUAUUAUUCUGACAAAACUCCAGGGACUUUGUUCUUAUGGAGACAUGAAGACCUGAUAAGGUUCCAGAUAAUUUUGCAAGUAUCUGUUCAAUAUGAAGACGUGAUACAUUCUGAAUGAGUGAUUGAUGCCACAAACCACUUCGAAUGUUUCUCUUUUAUACAAUAAAGUCUGUCUCCUUAACACAACUAGAUGUAAUAAUGCACUGGCUAUGAAAUUGUAUUUUGUAAGUAAUAAUGAAAAAAGAGCCAUAAACAUUCCAAGGGGAAAAUUCCCAAGAAACUAGAUGGAGCAAUUUAAAUGCAAAUUCUUCCUAAAGAAUCAAGUUUUGAAACCCUUAAAUUGCCUCAGUUGA
rnacentral:lncRNA from 1 species